rnacentral:sRNA from 1 species
AUCAUCAAGUCACUCAUCAAGCGAAGCAAAUCCAUCAUCCACCAAAUCAAAGGCACGUAAGUGAGCACCAACAGCUGCAUCGGCCAUGGCUCGCGCGCUCGUUCUCGUCGUGAUCCUCCUCGCCGCCAUCGCGGUGGCGCCGUUCGCAGAAGCCUCGACAGUGAGUGCCGCCUCCAGGGUAUUGUUGGCCUCCGAAGCGCCCGCUGAGAGCCCGGCUGGGCCUGCGCCGGCCCCAGGCCCAACGGAAGAGUCCAGCAGCACAUCUGCCGAGUCUCCAAGUGCUGAUGCCUGAAUGAGUAAGAGUGAAGCUCAAGUGAAUGAUUCCUAAUACCUGGAAUAUUGACCAAACAUAUAUAUGCCAGACAUCCUUUGUUAAGGCUAACAUAGCCUCAUUUUUUUUAUUUUUUUUUGUUUAUCACUACCUCUACCUAUGUUGUUGAUUGAUCAUGUUAAUCAUGCAACAUUAUGAUUUAAUAUAAGUUGGAUGAAGAUCUUCGUU